GACGAACGCUGGCGGCGUGCUUAACACAUGCAAGUCGAACGGAAAGGCCCUGCUUUUGUGGGGUGCUCGAGUGGCGAACGGGUGAGUAACACGUGAGUAACCUGCCCUUGACUUUGGGAUAACUUCAGGAAACUGGGUCUAAUACCGGAUAGGAGCUCCUGCUGCAUGGUGGGGGUUGGAAAGUUUCGGCGGUUGGGGAUGGACUCGCGGCUUAUCAGCUUGUUGGUGGGGUAGUGGCUUACCAAGGCUUUGACGGGUAGCCGGCCUGAGAGGGUGACCGGCCACACUGGGACUGAGAUACGGCCCAGACUCCUACGGGAGGCAGCAGUGGGGAAUAUUGCACAAUGGGCGGAAGCCUGAUGCAGCAACGCCGCGUGCGGGAUGACGGCCUUCGGGUUGUAAACCGCUUUCGCCUGUGACGAAGCGUGAGUGACGGUAAUGGGUAAAGAAGCACCGGCUAACUACGUG
rnacentral:rRNA from 1 species